GACGAACGCUGGCGGCGUGCUUAACACAUGCAAGUCGAACGGAAAGGCCCUGCUUUUGUGGGGUGCUCGAGUGGCGAACGGGUGAGUAACACGUGAGUAACCUGCCCUUGACUUUGGGAUAACUUCAGGAAACUGGGGCUAAUACCCGAUAGGAGCUCCUGCUGCAUGGUGGGGGUUGGAAAGUUUCGGCGGUUGGGGAUGGACUCGCGGCUUAUCAGCUUGUUGGUGGGGUAGUGGCUUACCAAGGCUUUGACGGGUAGCCCGCCUGAGAGGGUGACCGGCCACCUGGGGACUGAGAUACGGACCAGACGCCUACGGGAGGCAGCAGUGGGGAAUAUUGCGCAAUGGGCGGAAGCCUGAUGCAGCAACGCCGCGUGCGGGAUGACGGCCUUCGGGGUGUAAACCGCUUUCGCCUGUGACGAAGCGUGAGUGACGGUAAUGGGUAAAGAAGCACCGGCUAACUACGUG
rnacentral:rRNA from 1 species